rnacentral:rRNA from 1 species
CGCGUAGGCGGCUAUGUAAGUGUGAAGUGAAAUCCCACGGCUCACCCGUGGACGUGCUUUGCAAACUGCAUGGCCCGAGGAUGGUAGGGGAGAGCAGAACUCCUGGUGGAGCGGUGAAAUGCGUAGAUAUCAGGAGGAAUACCGGUGGCGAAGGCGGCUCUCUGGUCCAUUUCUGACGCUGAGGUGCGAAAGCUAGGGUAGCGAACG